rnacentral:rRNA from 1 species
CCCUUAGAUGUUCUGGGCCGCACGCGCGAUACACUGAUGCAUUCAACGAGUCUAAAACCUGCUCUGAUAGGGGUGGGUAAUCUUUUGAAUGUGCAUCGUGAUUGGGAUAGAUGAUUGCAAUUUUUCAUCUUCAACGAGGAAUGCCUAGUAAACGCAAGUCAUCAGCUUGCAUUGAUUACGUCCCUGCCCUUUGUACACACCGCCCGUCGCUCCUACCGAUUGAAUGAUCCGAUGAAUAUCAUGGAUUGAGGAUGCAAGUAGGUUCGCCUAUCUUCAUCUUCGAGAAGUGAAGUAAAUCUUAUCAUUUAGAGGAAGGAGAAGUCGUAACA